rnacentral:rRNA from 1 species
UACGGAGGAUGCAAGCGUUGUCCGGAUUUAUUGGGUUUAAAGAGUGCGUAGGCGGUUUAGUAAGUCAGUGUUUAAAGUCAAUAGCUCAACUAUUGUAGUGGCAUUGAUACUGCUAGACUUGAGUAAAGUUGAGGUGGGCGGAAUUUAUGGUGUAGCGGUGAAAUGCAUAGAUACCAUAAAGAACACCGAUCACGAAGGCAGCUCACUAAGCUUUAACUGACGCUGAGGCACGAAAGCGUGGGGAUCAAACAGG